AACGCACAUUGCGCCCCUUGGUAUUCCAUGGGGCAUGCCUGUUCGAGCGUCAUUUGUACCUUCAAGCUCUGCUUGGUGUUGGGUGUUUGUCCCGCUUUUGCGUGGACUCGCCUCAAAGCAAUUGGCAGCCGGCGUACUAGCCUGGGAGCGCAGCACAUUUUGCGCAUCUCGACUGGAGCGCUUGCGUCCAUUAAGCCUACACUUUUGCUCUUGACCUCGGAUCAGGUAGGGAUACCCGCUGAACUUAA
rnacentral:misc_RNA from 1 species